UACGAGGACGACGCUGGCGGCGUGCCUAAUACAUGCAAGUCGAACGAACGGAUAAAGAGCUUGCUCUUUUGAAGUUAGUGGCGGACGGGUGAGUAACACGUGGGUAACCUGCCUCACAGCUGGGGAUAACAUCGAGAAAUCGAUGCUAAUACCGAAUGUGCUGAACAUCAUAAGAUGUUCAAGUGAAAGACGGUUUCGGCUGUCACUGUGAGAUGGACCCGCGCUGGAUUAGCUAGUUGGUAAGGUAAUGGCUUACCAAGGCGACGAUCCAUAGCCGACCUGAGAGGGUGAUCGGCCACAUUGGGACUGAGACACGGCCCAAACUCCUACGGGAGGCAGCAGUAGGGAAUCUUCGGCAAUGGACGAAAGUCUGACCGAGCAACGCCGCGUGAGCGAAGAAGGCCUUCGGGUCGUAAAGCUCUGUUGUUAGAGAAGAACAUGGGUGAGAGUAACUGUUCACCCCUUGACGGUAUCUAACCAGAAAGCCACGGCUAACUACGUG
rnacentral:rRNA from 1 species